rnacentral:rRNA from 1 species
AUUGAACGCUGGCGGCAGGCCUAACACAUGCAAGUCGAAUGGUAACAGGAAACAGCUUGCUGUUUCGCUGACGAGUGGCGGACGGGUGAGUAAUGUCUGGGAAACUGCCUGAUGGAGGGGGAUAACUACUGGAAACGGUAGCUAAUACCGCAUAACGUCGCAAGACCAAAGAGGGGGACCUUCGGGCCUCUUGCCAUCAGAUGUGCCCAGAUGGGAUUAGCUAGUAGGUGGGGUAACGGCUCACCUAGGCGACGAUCCCUAGCUGGUCUGAGAGGAUGACCAGCCACACUGGAACUGAGACACGGUCCAGACUCCUACGGGAGGCAGCAGUGGGGAAUAUUGCACAAUGGGCGCAAGCCUGAUGCAGCCAUGCCGCGUGUAUGAAGAAGGCCUUCGGGUUGUAAAGUACUUUCAGCGGGGAGGAAGGGAGUAAUGUUAAUACCUUUGCUCAUUGACGUUACCCGCAGAAGAAGCACCGGCUAACUCCGUG